GAUGAACGCUGGCGGCGGGCCUAAUACAUGCAAGUCGAGCGAACAGACGAGGAGCUUGCUCCUCUGACGUUAGCGGCGGACGGGUGAGUAACACGUGGAUAACCUACCUAUAAGACUGGGAUAACUUCGGGAAACCGGAGCUAAUACCGGAUAAUAUAUUGAACCGCAUGGUUCAAUAGUGAAAGACGGUUUUGCUUUCCCUUAUAGAUGGAUCCGCGCCGCAUUAGCUAGUUGGUAAGGUAACGGCUUACCAAGGCAACGAUGCGUAGCCGACCUGAGAGGGUGAUCGGCCACACUGGAACUGAGACACGGUCCAGACUCCUACGGGAGGCAGCAGUAGGGAAUCUUCCGCAAUGGGCGAAAGCCUGACGGAGCAACGCCGCGUGAGUGAUGAAGGUCUUCGGAUCGUAAAACUCUGUUAUUAGGGAAGAACAAAUGUGUAAGUAACUAUGCACGUCUUGACGGUACCUAAUCAGAAAGCCACGGCUAACUACGUG
rnacentral:rRNA from 1 species